UGGAGAAGACCGAAGAAAUGAAGGAGAAGCAGGUGGCGCAAAUGCCCUCCCAGCGCAGGAUAGCGCCGAACCUCGAGGUGAAGCUCGCAGCCAUUGCCAUCAGCCUGAACGUGCGGCUGAGAUCCUCCGAUAUGCCGCCAGCCAUGCAGGAUCAUGCGCUGCGAUACUCCAGAUCACUCGUCGACGCCAUCCCGGACGCCACUCGUCCCAAUCCAAGCCACAUAGCUCGGGCCCUCAAAAAGGAGUUUGACUCGGUGUACGGCCCGGCGUGGCACUGUGUGGCGGGAACGAGUUUCGGGUCGUUUGUGACUCACUCGCCUGGUGGGUUCGUUUAUUUCUCGAUUGACUCGCUCUACAUUCUACUGUUCAAGACGGAGGUGAAGUUGGUGACAGAACCACGCGCAUGAGAGUGGCUAAUGGAUUCUACUCGCCCCUCACUACACCACGUGGAAUGAGGAAUACGUAUACUUGUAUUUCUAAAGUUCUGAAUUUUAAUGCUCCAAGCUUCAAUUUCCCAAUCUGAAAUCAAUUUUCAAGUCAUUGAAUCAGUUGUUGGAUUUGAUUAAUGCAUACACGGAGAGAACCCAAGUCGGAUAGCAUAUGAAAUUUCAGCAACAAUAAAAUAAAACAAAAUUUACGAUUAAUCACAAAAAAGAUUCAGAACCCAGAUCAGAUAGAAGAAAACAGAACAAUUGAGGACCUGGAU